rnacentral:rRNA from 1 species
GACGAACGCUGGCGGCGUGCCUAAUACAUGCAAGUAGAACGCUGAAGGAGGAGCUUUCUUCCCUGGAUGAGUUGCGCACGGGUGAGUAACGCGUAGGUAACCUGCCCGGUAGCGGGGGAUAACAAUUGGAAACGCUAGCUAAUACCGCAUAAGAGUAGAUGUUGCAUGAGAUUUGCUUAAAAGAUGCAAUUGUACCACUACCAGAUGGACCUGCGUUGUAUUAGCUAGUUGGUGGGGUAACGGCUUACCAAGGGGACGAUACAUAGCCGACCUGAGAGGGGGAUCGGCCAAACUGGGACUGGGACACGGCCCAAACUCCUACGGGAGGCAGCAGUAGGGAAUCUUCGGCAAUGGACGGAAGGCUGAACGAGCAAAGCCGCGGGAGGGAAGAAGGUUUUCGGAUCGUAAAGCUCUGUUGUAAGAGAAGAACGAGAGUGAGAGUGGAAAGUUCACACUGUGACGGUACCUAAUCAGAAAGGGACGGCUAACUACGUG